GGGUUUGCAUUUCGGUCAUCCGGCGGCCCCUCUGUGGUGUCGUCGAUCAGUCGUGUGUUUCUUGUCUUGCUUUGGGACGACGCGUGAGCGGCUCUUAAGACGUGAUCCCGGGGCAGGCUCCACGCUUGUGCGUCGAACUGCCUCGGUCCGUCCCUCUCAUUGGUUGUAGUCCGCAACGGUCCUUUCAGGGUCGGUUGCGGCCGUGGGUUGGGUUCCAGUUCUGGAUAUCCGAGUGUGAUAGUUGGAUGGAUUUUCGUCCCCGUCGUGGUACCAUCCUUCCGCCCGCUCCCCCAUCCGGGGAGCCGGCGGAUGUCAGGUUGCGGGCGUCCGACGUUCUCCAUCGAGAAAGUCGACCCCCGCUCGGGCUCUUUACCUCUCGAUGGCGCGUCGGUAUUGCCGGACAUGCUCUCGGGUAUGGAGAUUUCUUCGGUUAGUCGCGCCGGUCCUCAGUGGCCAUUGUGAUCCGGACAUGUCGAAGCACUAAUGCUUUCACUCGCGUGACCCUCGUGCUUUGCCUCCGUGGGAUUGCGGAGCAAAACCCCCUCCACGAUCGCCCUCCGGGCGGGCAUCGAGGAUUCUGGGGGAACGC
rnacentral:misc_RNA from 1 species